rnacentral:rRNA from 1 species
UUUUGAAAAGAGAGUAAAAUAGUACCUGAAACUGCUGAAAGGGAAGCGAUUGAAGUCAGUGUUGCUCCUGG